GGGGGUGUGGCUCAGUGGUAGAGCAUUUGCCUAGUAUGCAUUAGGUUUGGGUUUGAUUCCCCACUACUA
rnacentral:tRNA from 1 species